rfam:Anopheles epiroticus strain epiroticus2 unplaced genomic scaffold supercont1.1751, whole genome shotgun sequence.
CACACUAACAUACUCUUCAAUGGGAUUGGAUCCGAAGCCCCUUCGAGGGAUAAUACAGGCUCUCCUUUCCAACUCUUAUCCUGAAACGUCCUUGUCGUGUAGAGUGGUAACAUGUGCCAUCUAAUACUAAAGCUUUUACAUAAUCGUAUGGGCUAAUGGUGACAUAUGGCUAAACAGGAAAGG